rfam:Ixodes scapularis strain Wikel colony gcontig_1108378273858, whole genome shotgun sequence.
UCCUGAUUAGCUCAGUUGGUAGAGCGCUUCACUGGAAAGGGAGUGGUCCCUGGUUCGAUAACAGGACCGGGCG